rnacentral:ncRNA from 1 species
UCGCCCAAGGAGCGUUGCAGCGGCAGCCUGAUCCCACCCCACGAUGGUGGCCGGCUGCCGUCAGGCUUGGGCGCCCUGCCUUGGCCCCAUCGCAACGACGCUCACCUGUU